CCUGGGUCAGAAUAAACGAGUCCAACACGAGCCGGCUCGUUAAGGUAUCGACCCAAAAAAUUUAGUUCGCGUUUGAUUCGUUUAUUAACGAGCCGAACACGAGCUGGCUCACGAGCUGGCCAGCGAAUAAUAAAUUAAAAAAAUUUAGAUUAAAUAUAUAUAAAAAAAAAUUUAUAAAAUCUUAUCCAUUAGAUUUUGAUCUAAUAGUUGAAAUUUUAUAUAUAAAUGAGUCUUUUUAUAAUUAAGCUCGCAUUUAUAUUUUUAUUUUACUAAAAUUUAAAUAAUAAAAAUAUAUAUUAUAUAUAAUUAUUUAUUUAUAUAUAAAAAUAUAAAUUAAAUAAAUUAUAUAAAUAUAAAAUAUAUGUAUUCGANCUGGAGCUCAUUUCGAGCCGAACACGAGCUGGCUCGCGACAGCGAGCUGGAUUGCCACCCCUAGUAGCAACACAGCGGAAAAGAACGGUGGAGACUGGGACCGUGUAAUGUGUAUAAUAUAAAAUAAUAUAAUAAUAUAUGAAAUUUGGAUUUUAGAUACUUCAAGUGGUAUAGAUCAUAUUCAACGGUGCCGAUUGUCGAUUUAGAGGCUCCGUCGAAAAAAAAUGGAUGGCAACAAAGUCUGUUUGCUACGGACAGCAUUCCAGCUCAACUCAUUUAUAUAUAUAUAGAGGCAAUUACUUAUAUACCCCUAAAAAGUUUCCGACUUUCUGAUUUAUCCUUCUUAGAAUGUUAAUAUUGAAAAUAUAUUUUUUACAUUUCAAUCUAUUUCAAAUAUGCUCUUAAGGGCACGUUUGGUUCGAGUUAUGUAAUAUUACAAAGUAUCUCGACAUAUCCAGGUAUCUUGGAUUUUGGCGUAAGAUUACUACUGAUGCUGUAUUAGCGCGUUUGGUUUAAUGUAGUAAUGCAAUACUAGAUUACAGUGUUUGUAGCAUUAAUACGUUUGGUUCGGUUUAUAAAAUUUAAUAAUCCUGACAUAAAAGUAUAGUUUUUUUCAAAAUUGUCUUUGUUGUGGUCAUUUGAAUAUUAUUUUUUGCGGAAAUGACGAAUAGAGGGAAGGAGAUCGUGAUGAUUACCUGAGAGGACGACGCAAUAGAAGAUGAUAGGUGUUCGUGCGCGCGAGAGAGAGAGAGAGACGUCGAGAGAGAGAGAGAGAGAGAGAGAGAGAGAGAGAGAGAGAGAGAGGUGUGAUGCGAGAGAGAGAGCGAGAGAAAGCGGCGUGCAAGAGAGAGGGGGGAAGGCGAGAGAGAGAGAGAGAGAUGAAAAUAAUACUGUUAAUUAGAUUUGGGGUUGUUGGAGGGUAAAAUUGUCAUUUUACAUAAUAUAUAGUAUUAACGGGUUUCAGUAAUACAAGAUACACGACCCCCCUCCCGUUAAUAUUUUCGAUGUAAUCCUGCUCGAUUUGUAAUGCUACAUUAACGACUAGAUUACAUAGCGGAUUAACCAAACACAGUUAUCCUGACAGGAUUGCCUGUAAUCUCUAUAAAAUUAUUAUUUUGCCCUUUCAAAUAUACCCUUCUACCAUCAUUAACUUUUCUUAUUUGGCCUUAAGUUAGGGGCACAAAAAGUAUUUUAUUUUUUGAUCUUUUCAAAUAUACUCUUUUACCAUCACCAACAUUUCUUAUUUGCCCUUAAGUUAAGGGCAAAAAUGGCAUUUUAAUUUUUUUUAAACUGUGGUAGAUAUUUAACUCGCGUUUAAUCUAAGUUAACUUAACAGGUUGUCACGGCAGGGGUAUUUUGGAAUAACGGAGGAACAUAUGGGGGGUAUAUUGAAAAGAAAAAAAAAAAGUAGGGAUAAAUGAGAUAUUUUCGAAGUUUUGAAAGAUAUAUAAGCGAUUAUCCCUUAUAUAAAUAUAUAUAGAGAGAGAGAGAGAGAGUUCGGUUUUCGUGCUUCUAAUAGCAUUAAGUAUUUGGUGCUACCAAGUUUUCUACCGUUAGAUUUACCUUUUUGAUCAUUUCUAUUAUUUAGAUCUACUAUUCAACAAACCAACUACUCAAUUCUAGAGAACUAUUAUCAUUCUAACUGCACAUUCCUUCAUUCAAGGGCUGAAAGCCUAAUAGCACCAAUGACUUGGUACUGUUAGAAGCAUUCCAGCCUCUCUCUCUCUCUCUCUCUCUCUCUCUCUCUCUCUCUCUCUCUCUCUCUCUUGAGAAAAAUCUCUUUCUAUAUCAUAUAUACAGAGAGAGUCUAGUUGCUAUACUAUCGGCAGCACGGAAGUCUCCGUACUACUAAGUUAUUUUCGAUGAUGCAGCUUUCGAAUCGACAACCGUCUCUAUUAGUCUUGAUCUACAUGAUUAAAAGUAUUUGAAAAUUAAAUUUUAUAAUUUUUCCAUAUCAUUUACCUAUCAAACGAAUAGUCUAAAUGAACGGUUGAAAAAAAAAAUUUCAUAAAAAAUUAUGAUAACAUACUUAAAUUUAAGAUAAGAUAUACUAAUCUUACUCUAAAUAGUGAAAAGAAUGUUUUAUAAAAAUUUUAUCGGAUUUAAAUUGUUUUACACCGUUAAAUUCAUCGACAUUGGCCAUUAAAAUUGUCAAUUUUUUAGAUCAUUUGAUCACUAGUUAAAUAAUAUCGAAAAAAAAAAUAUGAAAUUUAUUUUUUGAAUAUUUUCAAUACCGUAGAUCAUAUCUAACAGAGCUGUUAUCGAUUCGGAAGCCAUAUCAUUGAAAAUAACUUGAUAUCAUGGAGGUCUCCGUGCUAUCGAUAGUAUAAAUGCCAGAGUCUCUCUUUGUAUAUAUAACUUAUAUG
rnacentral:lncRNA from 1 species